rnacentral:rRNA from 1 species
AACGAACGCUGGCGGCAUGCCUAACACAUGCAAGUCGAACGGCAGCACGGGAGCAAUCCUGGUGGCGAGUGGCGAACGGGUGAGUAAUGUAUCGGAACGUGCCCAGUCGUGGGGGAUAACGUAGCGAAAGCUACGCUAAUACCGCAUACGAUCUAUGGAUGAAAGCGGGGGACCGUAAGGCCUCGCGCGAUUGGAGCGGCCGAUAUCAGAUUAGGUAGUUGGUGGGGUAAAGGCCUACCAAGCCGACGAUCUGUAGCUGGUCUGAGAGGACGACCAGCCACACUGGGACUGAGACACGGCCCAGACUCCUACGGGAGGCAGCAGUGGGGAAUGUUGGACAAUGGGCGCAAGCCUGAUCCAGCAAUGCCGCGUGCAGGAUGAAGGCCUUCGGGUUGUAAACUGCUUUUGUACGGAGCGAAAAGGCUCUCUCUAAUACAGGGGGCUCAUGACGGUACCGUAAGAAUAAGCACCGGCUAACUACGUGCCAGCCGCCGCAGUAAAAC